CCCCCUGCUGGUGGUCUCUCUCUCUGUCUCUCAAAUACAUCAAUUUAAGAAAAAAUAGAGUACCGUGCAGUUUCUAAAUUAGGCUGUACCAUGCAUAUGUAUAUAUUUGGUUUGAAAAAUUCACUUCAGAAGUAGGACAAGGGGGAAUUCAACAACCACAGCAAGCAGUGUAUCAAAGGUGAAGAUAGAGACAAGACUAGGGUCCAGAUAGUAACCUCAUGUGAACUUUCUUACUCCCCAGGAAUAUAAGAUAAUGUGUUAUUUUUAUACGGCUCUGGUUGGGAUAACCACUGCUGUCUAUCUGUGGUUCUAUGUAAUACUGCGUUUUCCCAGACCCUACCCAUAAUGUCACUUUAUACUUCUUUAUAAAAAAGAAACCAUGUUUCCAAGGGCUAACUAUAAAGAUAAACAUUAGAGAGGUAGACUAGCCCUGGGGACAGAAACCAGAAAGAGGAAACUCUGAGGAAUUUUGGUCACAAUGUGAGGUCCUGCCACAAAACAACACAGAACUGCAAGCAGCACAGAGAACUGUAAAUCUUUGCAGAAGGCAGAGUGGAGGAUUCAGUUUGGGUAUGGAAGGUAUGGGAGGCAAACCAAGGAAUCUGCAAGAGGAGCAACCCUGAGGACACGUGCCAGAUCUGGCUCCUGGGCCAAACACAGUUCCAAAGCUGCUUACACAGAGUUGAGAUGACACAGAGUUUAUGUGAGACAUACUUGACCACAUCAUCAAUGGGCCAAGGGUUUCCAUGAAUAUGUAAGCACUGACAGACUUGUAAGAUUCCAAGAGGACAUAGGACGCUAUCAGAUGCAUUUUUUUUUUGUUUUUUUUUUUUAUCAUUUUUUUUUAUCAGAUGCAUUUUUAAAAUAAUUCCCACCUGUAGGCUCCACCCCUCCUACAAAGU
rnacentral:lncRNA from 1 species